rnacentral:rRNA from 1 species
UACGUAGGGUGCAAGCGUUGUCCGGAAUUAUUGGGCGUAAAGAGCUCGUAGGCGGCUUGUCGCGUCUGUCGUGAAAGCUUGGGGCUUAACCCCAAGUCUGCGGUGGAUACGGGCAGACUAGAGGCAGGUAGGGGAGAACGGAAUUCCCGGUGUAGCGGUGAAAUGCGCAGAUAUCGGGAGGAACACCGGUGGCGAAGGCGGUUCUCUGGGCCUGUACUGACGCUGAGGAGCGAAAGCGUGGGGAGCGAACAGG